rnacentral:rRNA from 1 species
AUUGAACGCUGGCGGCAGGCUUAACACAUGCAAGUCGAGCGGAGGGAUGGUGCUUGCACCAUCACGUAGCGGCGAACGGGUGAGUAAGGCCUAGGAAUCUGCCCAUUAUCUGGGGACAACGUGUGGAAACGCACGCGAAUACCGCAUACGCCCUACGUGGGAAAGGAGUGGACUAUUUGAGCCUUGCACUAAUGCAUUAGCCUAGGUCAGAUUAGUCAGUGGGUGGGGUAAAGGCCUACCAAGGCGACGAUCUGGAGCGGGUCUGAGAGGAUGAUCCGCCAAACUGGAAACGAGAAACGGUCCAGAAUUCCUAGGGAGGCAGCCGUGGGGAAUAUUGGACAAUGGGGGCAAGCCUGAUCCAGCCAUGCCGCGUGUGUGAAGAAGGCCUUUUGGUUGUAAAGAACUUUAAGCGAGGAGGAGGCUUACCUGGUUAAUACCUGGGAUAAGUGGACGUUACUCGCAGAAUAAGCCCCGGCUAACUCUGUG